ACUUGGCUCUUGGCGGGCCACGAUGGGCGCUGUGGACUGGACAGAUUGGAAGCGGAGGGAUCGGCACUUUUGCGCGCAGGGUCUGCUGGGAGUUGUAGUCCACACACUGCCCUGAAGCCGGCGGCGACGCCCUCGUCUCGGCGGCUCUUUGGCCUGGGCAUGGCUGGGCUGUCUGUAACGAGGUGGCCUCGUUCACCUUAGGGAGAAGGCUCCUCUGACACGCCUACGCAUGGGCCUGGUGUGUCGCUGCUCCCCGGCGCCAAACGUAAUCUGAGACUUGCUCCUUGAGUUAGGAGAUGGUGGAGGGAACAGAAAAAAGCCGCCCCUUGACAGCGGGCGGGGGAGGGGGUGUGUGAGGGGAGGCUGAGGGUGUAGGGGAGGGGAUGGAGCGAGGAGGACCUUGUUGUACUCUCCUCAGUGUCUCUGGCGCCAAGUGAAUGAGUGUGCCUUUUUAAUGACUGAAUUGUUGGUGAAGCAAGGAUAUGACGGGACACCUCCCCAUAUCUUCUUGAUCGCUAAACAAGGCUUGGUCUGGAUUCAGAGAAAUGCAGUAAAGGGGGCCUCUUUUCAGCUUCCUGGACCCCGGGAAAUGUCAUUCUAGGCUGAGGAAUGCCUGAGCAUAAAACCUGAAAGCAUGGAACUGGCAUUGAAACUUACCUUCUCCACAGAAACCCUUGCUUCAUGAAGAACAGUGUGAUCUUUUAAAAGAAGCUUCUGCUGCAGCUGUCUUCAGGAUCAUCUCAUCUUCCCACGAGUUUUUACUUGGAGGAUUUCUAUGGACAGUCUAUCUCUAGUGCCAAUGGAUCAUCCAUACUUGAACUGAGGGGCUUUGCCAGCUUGAAAAUGAUCCAAGAACAAAAGAAACAUCUCUCAAAGAUCAUCCAUCAAACAAAAACUGAGAAACAUUAUUCUUUUUUUUCUCUCCUCUUCAGGGCUAAAUCUGAACUGUCAAUAAGUCAUAUCCUGUCCGUGUAAAGCCUUUCAUUUUCAUCUAUCUCUUGAUUCACCUAAUUUGUCACUUUACAUCCAAUCACCCACUCACUUCUAUGACUUUUCUUUUUGCUAUGUUGUAAUUCUCAUACUGUCCUGAGUUGAAUUAUUAGGAAGUAUGGACCUUGGAAAUGAGGUC